CGACACGAUUAAUAUCUGCAGGGACAGGGAGUUCGUCAUUUCAAGCGUGUUCCCACUGACGAAUCCGACCAAUGCUUGUAAUUUAGCUAGUUGAUCCUGGUACUCCGUUUGGAAGGACAGCUACUCACGAUUUGCUACCGAACAGAGGGUUGUGCGCUGUGAUUAUGUUACGCAUACAUAUUCAUGUUGCCUUUGAGGCUUUAUCAAGAUCUUGUCCGUUAUUUGGUCUCUAAUAAACCAACGGCUUCGUUCCAUCUACGAUGGAUCAGAGUCAUAUGGGAAUUUCGGAGAAAGAUCGAA
rnacentral:misc_RNA from 1 species